GACGGAGGAUGCAAGCGUUAUCCGGAAUGAUUGGGCGUAAAGCGUCCGCAGGUGGCUGUUCAAGUCUGCUGUCAAAGCGCAGAGCUUAACUCUGUACAGGCGGUGGAAACUGAAGAGCUAGAGUAUGGUAGGGGUAGAGGGAAUUCCCGGUGUAGCGGUGAAAUGCGUAGAUAUCGGGAAGAACACCAGUGGCGAAAGCGCUCUACUGGGCCAUAACUGACACUGAGGCGCGACAGCGUGGGGAGCAAACAGG
rnacentral:rRNA from 1 species